rnacentral:rRNA from 1 species
GAAAGCUUGCUUUCUUGCUGACGAGUGGCGGACGGGUGAGUAAUGCUUGGGAAUCUGGCUUAUGGAGGGGGAUAACGACGGGAAACUGUCGCUAAUACCGCGUAUUAUCGGAAGAUGAAAGUGCGGGACUGAGAGGCCGCAUGCCAUAGGAUGAGCCCAAGUGAGAUUAGGUAGUUGGUGGGGUAAAUGCCUACCAAGCCUGCGAUCUCUAGCUGGUCUGAGAGGAUGACCAGCCACACUGGAACUGAGACACGGUCCAGACUCCUACGGGAGGCAGCAGUGGGGAAUAUUGCGCAAUGGGGGGAACCCUGACGCAGCCAUGCCGCGUGAAUGAAGAAGGCCUUCGGGUUGUAAAGUUCUUUCGGUAUUGAGGAAGGUUGAUGUGUUAAUAGCACAUCAAAUUGAC